CAAAGAGUAGUUUUAAUUAAAAUAAUAAUUUUGGAGAUUAUAGAUAAAUAAAUAAUUUUUCUUUGA
rnacentral:tRNA from 1 species